CAAGGCAGGCGCGUCUACUCCACAAAAUAGACGAUGACCGGCCAGAAAAGGAGGAUAAACACAUCCACAGGGCUUGCGGUGCGGCAGUGUGGAGACCUGUCGUAAUGCGUCGCGCGUCAGCGGACGCGAGGUACGGGCAAGCGGAGGCUUCCGUGCCAGAGCCGGUUGCAUGGCA
ncrna:unclassified sequences malK-I RNA